rnacentral:rRNA from 1 species
AUUGAACGCUGCGGCAGGCUUAACACAUGCAAGUCGAGCGAGCGGCGGACGGGUGAGUAAUGCUUAGGAAUCUGCCUAUUAGUGGGGGACAACAUCUCGAAAGGGAUGCUAAUACCGCAUACUAAUAGAUGGGCCUAAGUCGGCGUCGCUAGUUGGUGGGGUAAAGGCCUACCAAGGCGACGAUCUGUAGCGGGUCUGAGAGGAUGAUCCGCCACACUGGGACUGUGACACGGCCCAGACUCCUACGGGAGGCAGCAGUGGGGAAUAUUGGACAUUGGGCGCAAGCCUGAUGCAGCCAUGCCGCGUGUGUGAAGAAGGCCUUCGGGUUGUAAAGCACUUUCAGCGGGGAGGCGUUACCCGCAGAAGAAGCACCGGCUAACGCCGUGCCAGCAGCCGCGGUAAUUC